rnacentral:misc_RNA from 1 species
UCCGAGUUGGCCCCGGCAGUCUCCUACGAGUCCCCGGCAUUACCCGCUGGCAACAUAGGACGAGGGUUGCGCUCGUUGCGGGACUUAACCCAACACCUCACGGCACGAGCUGACGACAACCAUGCACCACCUGUGCACGGCCCUUACGGACCUUCCAUCUCUGAAAGAUUUCCGUGCAUGUCAAGCCUAGGUAAGGUUCUUCGCGUUGCAUCGAAUUAAGCAACAUGCUCCGCCGCUUGUGCGGGCCCCCGUCAAUUCUUUUGAGUUUUAGCCUUGCGGCCGUACUCCCCAGGCGGAACACUUAACGCGUUGGCUGCGGCACAGAGGGAUUCGACUCCCCCCACACCUAGUGUUCAUCGUUUACGGCGUGGACUAC